CCUUUACUCAAAUAAUGCAGGUUAAUGUGGGUAAGUCUCAUCCAAUCCUUUGAAGGCCUGAAGAACAAAGAGUGAGGUUUCUGGAAGAAGAAAAUUUUACCUCAAGCCUGCAAUGUAGAAAUUCUGCUUGAGUUUCCCGCCUGCUGGCCUGCCCUGUGGAAUUCGGAGUCAAGAAGGAGUCUUGUAAGCAUUAACUGAGAUAGUAUAUGAAGAGUGCUUUUGCACCGAGUGAACCUUCAAUCAACUGUACUAGUUUGUAUGCCUGGAAGAGCUGCUAUAUGGGAUCAGAAAGAAAAAUAAGGUGCAUACGCCAGAAAAAAAAUACUUGCAUAUGAGUACUAGGAGAUGCAUGACAAUGUUCACGGCAGCAGUAUUCAUGGCAGUGAAAAAUGAAAAGAACUGAAAUGCCCAUUGAUAAAAACGUCUACUUAUUUGUGUCAUCUUUGCACAGUGGAAUUGUGCGAGUGGAAAUGAUUGAUCUACAGCUAGGAGAAGCAGCAGAGCUCAAUCUCAAAAACAUAACGUUGUGUGGAAAAAGCUAACCUCAGAACACUUUGCGGCUCUAUCUUAGCAAACCAGGAGAGAAAUUCUCCUGAUGGCCUUGAAGAAGCAAACAGCCACCUGGUUAAGCCCCUGUGGAUAGUGCCAAGUGGCAGGAAAGUGGGAGCCACCUCUAGGACCUGAGGAUUAAAGUCAGUAAGAGCUGGGACCUCACUCAUGCAGACUCGAGGACAUGAAUUCGACCAACAACUUGAAUGAGCUUGGAAGUGGAUUCUUCCCUAGUCCAGUCUUCAGAAAUUAAGAAUGUUCCCAAAGAAUGAUGGAGACAUUUCAAAAGGAUACGGAAGCCAGAUUGUGGGCGCUUCUACUGGCCAACUCUGGGACAUCGUGGACAUCAAAAUAAAUUUGUAAUAAUAAAGGAUUAUAGCCUAUUAGUUAAAUCAGAAAAAUCUGAUUUAACUAAAUGAGUAGGAGGAAAAGAAAGCUCUUCCUUAUAUUAGAAAGUCAAUUAAUAAAUGCAGAAAGGAAUGAAAAAAUUAGAAAAGCCACCAUUUGGCAACCAUGGCAGGCAGAAUGGGGAGUAUGCCUCCAGACAGUAAUUCCUUUCAAACUGGUUUAUAGGAACUCACUGAGCUUGCUGAUCGACCUCUGAGAGGCAAAGUUUCUGAAUUAUGAAGUACUGAUUAUAUAAACUUAGACAGAGACAUGCUUCAUUAUUUAAUAGGACUGUGUCAAAAGCCUACUAUUAGGAUGAUGUGUUGGGUGUGGAACAGGGUCUCUUCCUGCCAGGAACACUGGUGAUUUCACUCCGUGUUCAGGCUGAUCUUUGAAGUUGAAGACAAGCAGAAGAAUCCUUCUAAAAUUUAGCCAUGCCCAUAGGCUGGGAGGGACACUGCUCCAUUCAGAGGCAGCAAAGCACAUUACUGUAUCUCCUAUAGAGCUUUGAGCAGUCCAGUGUACAUGGAGAAACUUAGUAAAUGUUGUUGAAUUAGUGAAUGAACAAAUCAAUGGACCAAGUCAGGGGUAAGUCUUACAUUUGUCAUCUAGGUGAUUAAGAAAGGAAAAAGUAUCUGUUUCAAGAGGAUUACAAUCUAACUGUACUCCAAUAGUAAAAUUUACUCUUUUGGAAUC
rnacentral:lncRNA from 1 species